CUGCAGGAAAUCUCGCCGAGGUGAAAUCUGACUGGGGUAAAAGUGCAACUGUCUGGGAGGCGGGAGGGUGGUGUGGUUCCGGCGAUGCGGUUAGAGGAAGCGAGGCUGCAGCAGCUGGAGUCAGGCCACCCCAGGCCGAUUACAAGUUUUCCAAACAGCCGAGCCCCUGAACAGAAGCUGACAGCGCGCCACAGCUCAGCAGCAGCAGCAGCGGGGUCCUUGGCUUGGGCUAACACCGGACACCGGUGCUGGACUUCACAUUGGCCCUGGGUCUCCAGGAAGGUGUUGAAUUCAGGCCAUCAGGCGUGGUGACAGGUGCCCUUAACUGUUGACCUAUCUCUCCAGCCGUGGAUCCAUCUGUUUUGGUGAAUGUGUUCAGUCCAGACAGGGUAUCUGGUUGCAAAACCCGAACUCCUCCUCCUGUCUCUUGGUGAGCGUUUGAGGCAGAACACAGUGACCUGCCUCCUGUGAUAACAUCGGCAUUCAAAGAACAAUAAGCUUUCAUCUCCCUCUGGGGAUUUGAAAGUACUAACGUUUGGGACCAUCUCAGUGCAACUAACCAACUCUGACAAAUCCUCCUACGCCUCCCAUGAGCUCAGAGCAGAAGGGGUCAUCAAUUUCCUGUUCUUUCCUGUUGAGCCCAGAUACAAUAUCUGAAUCCCUCUCAGUUCAGGACCCUACCCAGACCUUACCAACAAAUCGGAACCAGCUCUGGAGACUGACUCAUCUCCCCCUUAGCUUAGGCUUUCCCCCAGAGCUUUCUCCAUCUCUGGAUCCCCGCCACCCUUUCCCAAGAGUGAGCAGACCGGUCGCGAAGAAGUCUGAGGUGCUGGGAUCGCUACUUGAUACUGGAUACCCGCAGAUUGUUCCUUUGCCUUCAGGGAGCUGGUCGUGCUUAGGAGACCCCUGGAGCAGCCUUGUCCUUUACCACAGCCUUGUAAGGUCUCAUAACCCCCUUUCUAUAGCCUCCUCGGGAAUGGGAACUUCCUUACCGCGGAGACAGCUCAUGCCAUUGCACAAUGACCUACACUGAUCGGCAAAGCGGUCAGCUCAUCUCCAGUGGAGAUCUCUCUGCUUGACAAGUUCGUCCACUAGCAGUAGCUCCAGCUCCAUGCCCAUCUCCUCCCCCCUUCCCACAUCAAUCUUUCAAGUUGCUUGAGGAUGGCUACCCGGAGCUCCCUAAAAUUUGUCACCUGUAGGUGAGAUAUCCCCCUUUUCCCCUCACAUCAUUGCAUGACAAGGCACAGAGUUUCCUUAUCCUGAGAGACACUUCCCUUCCCCCACCACCCAGGGUGUUGGCAACCUCCUGUGGGCUACUCUUCUCUAUAGUGAUAUGUGCUUCCUGGACUGAAUUGAUUAUUUGGUCUUGCAAUCUAGCAGUUGGCCUUCUAUCCAAAAGAGCUGUGCUUGCCUCUAAGAUGCCACCUUACGCUAAGUGUGCAGUUGGCUACGGCCUUCAGAUUUAUUUCACAAAAUCUGCCACCCAUCCUGUAUCCAGUGCACAGGAAUUCAAAAACUAAUUACUGCUGUUGCUAAACCGGAAUGUGUGUGGACUGUCCUUUUGUAUGGGAUAUGUGUUGGCACUGGCCACAUUAGUGAAGCCCUCAAGAGAAUUAUAAUUUGAAUCUUAUUUACUCAAUACACACUUACUUUUAGGCCUAAUUUUCAGUGGACAAUUGGUCAGUAUUAGAAUUUUAUACAAUUUUGGCAUUUGUCCAAUAGUUUACAGAUCAGAUUACUCGCCUGAUGAACAUGAAGUUCUGGAUGAGCAUAUUCAUUGUGCUAUUAAUUUAAAUUUUAAGAAGACCUAGAGACCCCCAAUAAGAACAUGGAAAGGAUGCAUCAGUAAUCACUAGGCAAAUAAAAUAAAAUUCAAAACCAAAAGGACACACUGAUCAUACCCAUUAGGAUGGCUAUUUUCAGAAAAUCAAAAAUAGCAAGUGUUAGUGUGAUAUAAAUUGGAACAUUUGUAUAACUCUUGGCACGGAAGACAGUACAGUAGUUCCUAAAAGACUUAAACAUACAAUUAAGGUAUCAUUUGCAAGUCCAGCGUCUGGGAAUAUAACUCAAAGUAGGGAUCAAAGAAAUAUUUAGAUAUAUGCUCAUAACAACAGUAUUCACCGUAGGCAAAAGGUAGGGGCAAUCGUGUGGCCAUCAACAGGUGAAUGAGUAUGCACAUGAUACAGUAGUGUUCAGUCUUACAGCUGAAGGAAAUUCAGAUCCACAUGACAUGAAUAUUGGAUACUGAAUGUCCACAUUUGCGUCAUUGUGGUUAAAAUACUUGAGCAGAGCAGCUUGAGGCAGGACACUUCAGGUUGGUUCAUGAUUUCACAGAGUUUAGCAUGUGAUAGCCUGCACCCGUGAGCUUGAGCAGAACAUGGAGACAGUGGGAGCCUGUGGAUGAAGAUGGAUGCUCACAGCAGACAGGAAGUCAACAGUGAGAUACGGGAAGUGACCAGGGAUAAUAUACCUCCCACACUGUGGAUUACCUAACAGCACUCAAGUGCAUUUAAAAAUGGUCAAGAGUUUAGGAGUAUUUCCCCACUGCUGACGAACAAGCAAGCAAAAAGAUACAACAUUUUGAUGCCUGGAGUCAAAAAUAUCUCAACUGGUUUUUUUAUUUUUUUUCUACAACUUUCUAUCAUUGUACACAUAGUGUGGAGAUUUGAAAAACCACUGUGGGAAACAGCCAGGUAGAGUAACAUACACCUAGGAGGCUGAGAGGCAGGAGGAUUAUAAGUUUAAGGUCAGCCAUGGUUACAUAGAUGCCUGCAUUCAAAAAUAAAUAAAUAAAUAAUAAAUAAGUACAUAAGUAGGUGAUAAAUAAAUAAAUAGA